rnacentral:rRNA from 1 species
UACAGAGGUCUCAAGCGUUGUUCGGAUUCAUUGGGCGUAAAGGGUGCGUAGGCGGCGCGGUAAGUCGGGUGUGAAAGCCCCGAGCUUAACUCGGGAACUGCGCUUGAUACUGUCGAGCUAGAGUGUGGAAGGGGCGAUUGGAAUUCCGUGUGUAGCGGUGAAAUGCGUAGAUAUACGGAGGAACACCAGAGGCGAAGGCGGAUCGCUGGGCCAACACUGACGCUGAUGUGCGAAAGCUAGGGGAGCAAACGGG